UACAUUCAUGGGACACAAUAGUGUUCCCUGAUCCAAUCCAUGUUGCUUUCCCAGGUGUUUGGUCAUCUGGGAAAGUGUCCUUUCAAAACGAAUUAUUGAAUCAGCUGUCUGAGUUGGCCCAGUGCCUUAUUCUUUAAAUAAGUUA
rnacentral:misc_RNA from 1 species